GACGAACGCUGGCGGCGUGCCUAAUACAUGCAAGUCGAACGGUUUAGUUCCACUAGUCAAGGCUCUUGGAACUAAGCAGUGGUGGAUGGCUCGUUAAUACCUAGCCAACCUCCCUGUCAAACCGUGAUAACCUCGGGAAACCGACCCUAAACCCGGAUAAGCUCCUUUUUCGCAUUUAGGGAGUUUGAUCAGGUGCGACCUGAUUCCCGAUGUGCCUGCUUCGCAUUGGCUAGUUGGUAGGGUAAGGCCCUACCUAGGCGCUGAUGAGUAGCCGACCUGAGAGGGCGUACGGACAGAGUGGGACUGAGAUACUGCCCAGACACAUACGGGAGGCAGCAGUAGGGAAUCUUCGGCAAUGGGCGAAAGCCUGAUCGAGCAACGCCGCGUGAGUGAGGAAGGCCUUCGGGUUGUAAAACUCUGUUGUUUGGGAAGAAGGGAAAGGGUAGGAACCUUUGGUGACGGUAACAAACGAGAAAGCGCCGGCUAACUACGUG
rnacentral:rRNA from 1 species